UCUCCGUAGGUGAACCUGCGGAGGGAUCAUUACUGAGUGAGGGUCUCCGGGCCCGACCUCCAACCUUUUUGUGAACCACCUCGUUCCUUCGGGGGCGACCCUGCCGUUCGCGGCGUGGGGCCCCCGGAGCCCAUCAAACCCUGCGUAACUAAGUCGUCGGAGUUUAAACAAAAUGAACAAAACUUUCAACAACGGAUCUCUUGGUUCGGGCAUCGAUGAAGAACGAGC
rnacentral:misc_RNA from 1 species